ACUCUAACACUAUGAUCAUUCAGCAGGUCUUAACGCACAAUUUGAAUUUUGGGGUGAAAAUCAAUUUUUCGUGUGCUCAUUCAUAUUACACAUUAAAUGCGACCUCUAUCAGUUUUGAAUAUAUACUGAAUGCGACCCUGAAGUGACCCACAUACACAAAAGAGG